rnacentral:rRNA from 1 species
UAGGGAAUAUUGGACAAUGGGGGCAACCCUGAUCCAGCCAUGCCGCGUGAGUGAAGAAGGCCCUCGGGUUGUAAAGCUCUUUUGUCCGGAAAGAAAAGCAUUCGGUGAAUACCCGGAUGUUCUGACGGUACCGGAAGAAUAAGCACCGGCUAACUUCGUGCCAGCAGCCGCGGUAAUAAGAAGGGUGCAAGCGUUACUCGGAAUUACUGGGCGUAAAGCGUGCGUAGGUGGUUGUUUAAGUCUGAUGUGAAAGCCCUGGGCUCAACCUGGGAAUGGCUUUGGAAACUUGGCAGCUAGAGUGCGGUAGAGGGUAGUGGAAUUCCCGGUGUAGCAGUGAAAUGCGUAGAGAUCUGGAGGAACAUCUGUGGCGAAGGCGACUGCCUGGACCAGCACUGACACUGAGGCACGAAAGCGUGGGGAGCAAACA